GGACGAACGCUGGCGGCGUGCCUAAUACAUGCAAGUCGAACGGUCUUUCUAUGGAAGCUUGCUUCCACUGAGAAGAUAGUGGCGAACGGGUGAGUAACACGUGGGUAACCUGCCCAUAAGAGGGGGAUAACAUCCGGAAACGGGUGCUAAUACCGCAUAGUUUUCUUGAUUGCAUGAUUGAGAAAGGAAAGACGGCCUUUGUGCUGUCGCUUAUGGAUGGACCCGCGGCGUAUUAGUUAGUUGGUGAGGUAACGGCUCACCAAGACGAUGAUACGUAGCCGACCUGAGAGGGUGAUCGGCCACAUUGGGACUGAGACACGGCCCAAACUCCUACGGGAGGCAGCAGUAGGGAAUCUUCCGCAAUGGACGAAAGUCUGACGGAGCAACGCCGCGUGAGUGAAAGAAGGUUUUCGGAUCGUAAAACUCUGUUGUCAGAGAAGAACAAGUUGGAGAGUAACUGCUCCAGCCUUGACGGUAUCUGACCAGAAAGCCACGGCUAACUACGUGCCAGCCGCGGC
rnacentral:rRNA from 1 species